AGUUAAGCCUGCCCGGUGAAAUUGGUUUAACGGCCGCAGUACUUUGACUGUGCUAAGGUAGCAAAAUAAAUUGGCUUUUAAUUUAAGUCGAGUAUGAAUGGCAUCAUGGGUGUAAGCUGUCUCAGUUACUUAAUUUUAUGAAUUUAACUGGUAGGUGAAAACGCCUACUGAUUAAUAUUAGACGAGAAGACCCUUAGAGUUUUAAAUAUAUAGUAUUAAUUACUCAUUCUUUUUUGUUGGGGCGACAAAGUAUCAUAUAAAGCAUACUUAAAUAAAUUUAAGACAAGUCUUCCUUAAAAAUGAGUAUAACUACCUAAGGGAUAACAGCAUAAUUUUUUUUAAGAUUGUGACCUCGAUGUUGGACUAGGGACUUAAUAUAUUAGCCAUACA
rnacentral:rRNA from 1 species